rnacentral:rRNA from 1 species
UACAGAGGUCUCAACCGUUGUUCGGAUUCAUUGGGCGUAAAGGGCUCGUAGGUGGCUUUGUAAGUCGGAGGUGAAAUCCCACGGCUCAACCGUGGACACGCCUUCGAAACUGUGAAGCUUGAGGCUGGGAGAGGAGAUCGGAAUUCCUGGUGUAGCGGUGAAAUGCGUAGAUAUCAGGAAGAACACCAACGGCGAAGGCAGCUCGCUAGGACGGUACUGACGCUGAGACGCGAAAGCGUGGGGAGCGAACAGG